GACGAACGCUGGCGGCGUGCUUAACACAUGCAAGUCGAACGGUGAAGCCCUUCGGGGUGGUUCAGUGGCGAACGGGUGAGUAACACGUGAGCAACCUGCCCCUGGCUCUGGGACAACCACUGGAAACGGUGGCUAAUACCGGAUACGACCCGCCUCGGCAUCGAGUGUGGGUGGAAAGUUUUUCGGCUGGGGAUGGGCUCGCGGCCUAUCAGCUUGUUGGUGAGGUGAAGGCUCACCAAGGCGACGACGGGUAGCCGGCCUGAGAGGGCGACCGGCCACACUGGGACUGAGACACGGCCCAGACUCCUACGGGAGGCAGCAGUGGGGAAUAUUGCACAAUGGGCGAAAGCCUGAUGCAGCGACGCCGCGUGAGGGAUGACGGCCUUCGGGUUGUAAACCUCUUUCAGCUCCGAAGAAGCGAAAGUGACGGUAGGAGCAGAAGAAGCACCGGCCAACUACGUG
rnacentral:rRNA from 1 species